GUUCUGUGACAAAGAUGUAGUUCAGCACUUUUCCAGUUACAAAGGAAACAUGAGCAGUACACACAUAUGAGACACUUCAGUCUUGUGAGAAGCAGUUCUUGCAGGGUUUCCUGGACAGGACCAAGAACCACUGGAAAUAUUCAGAUAAUUAACUGGAAAUCAUGAAAGCAGACUGUCUGGCAGGUUCUGUUUUGAAUAAACUUUGGAUUGAAAGUAAACUUUUCAGAAUCCUAGGAAAUAGCGUAUGCUUUGAGGGGAAAAAGAAAUACCAUCAAGUGCCUUGAAGUCCAGAUCAGUGCAGACUGGUGGUCCUGCUAACUGCCACUUCCAGAACUGCUUUUUGGAUCAGUUCUCCAUGGAACGAGCCAUCCUCAUGCCUGCUGAAAGAGCUUUCCCGACCUUUGGCUUGCUCUGCCAGCACAGAAGGACCAGGGCUGCAGCCAGUCACGGUGAGGAGAGAAAGUGUGAGCAGAGGAAGGGGAAACCAAGUAGGAAAUGUCCUACCCAUCUCUGCUUUUACAGAGAUGAAUCUGUAGCCAGGGUACCUCCACCAACGGUAAGUCAGAAAGCAGUAACAACUCUGUCAGAAACUUCUGAGAUAGAAAAGAUUCUGCUUCUCAAAUAAGCUAUUUUGGGUAUAGCUCUACUUUCUCUUCCUUCUUCCUUUCAUUUUGUCUUUGUUUUGGCCCUUACAUCUCCCUCUCCAAUCCAUUCCUCAAAACAUGUUUGAAGAGCUGUAUUGUUCUUUAUUCAAUUCUAAAUGCACUACUAACAUCUUGGUAAAAUACUCAAAUCUUCCUGAACAAGCUUUUGUACCCACCCCAAGAUCCUUUCCUUGCCAUCCACAUUGGCUGUUGAGAAAUUUCCUCUUAUUAUGCACUGAGUAGAUGUAAAUCUAUUUAGCAUAAUAGCAGUAGAUUUUCCUGCUGUGUAUUACAAUACCGGAAACCUUUUAAAUAUCACAAAGCUGGACCAUUUUAUAAUCAUCUCUUCUGUUCUCCUUAGUACCUCAAAAUAAUUUCUGAGUUGAGCCAGCUAAUAUCCUCCUGCUUAAGUGUUUCUAAAUCCACUUCAAUUGUGUGUGCACGGAGGGAGGGUUUCCUCCACACUUUCGUCUUCCAUCCCUGUCAUUUAAUGUUCCAGUCCAAUGAUUUUUCCAUUUCUGUUUCCAGUGAGCUCAUUUUAAAGUUCCAAAUGGCUCUUUACAUUUAUAUCCUCUGUUCA